rnacentral:lncRNA from 1 species
AAGGCCAGUGAAUCCUUUCUAGAAAGAUCCCAAGGCUGAGGUGGGAGAAAUGGCAAGAUGCACACAGCACCACGGCAAGACCGUUUGGCUUUUACACGCCCUCCGGUCUCCAUGACAGCAAGUAGGCGAUGCAUGGCGUUGAUUGGCUGAGCUUAGGAGGCGUGGACCGGAAGUGGCCGGAGAUUGGCGACGGAAUGCCAAUAGUCAACUAGGCCUGCUGUGAUGAUCCUGGGCCGAUUCAGUAGUCGGAGAUGGCAGUUGUCUGACCUAGAAGACAGUUGCGUUUGUGAGAGCGUGUGAAUGGACGCCAGAGGAUUGGCAUCUGAGUGGAGCUGCCUCAGAUCCAUUGCACUGGGGACGAGAGACAUAUCAACACCACGUCUUUCCGUGGCUACCCUGGCUA